AACAUAAAAUAAGUCUAUGUUACGGCCAUAGAUAUGAUACAUUCUGUAUCUUAUGUUU
rnacentral:tRNA from 1 species